rnacentral:tRNA from 1 species
GCCUGGGUGACUCAGUUGAUUAAGUGUCUGACUUCAGCUCAGGUCAUGAUUUUGCAGUUUGUGGGUUCGAGCCCCACAUCAGGUU